rnacentral:tRNA from 1 species
GGCAUGUGGCUUAGUGGUAAAGUGCUUGCCUAGCAAGCAUGAGGCCAUGGAUUCAAUUCCUCAUACACA